rnacentral:rRNA from 1 species
UACGUAGGCAGCAAGCGUUGUUCGGAGUUACUGGGCGUAAAGAGCGUGUAGGCGGUUUGGUAGGUCCGCUGUGAAAACUCGAGGCUCAACCUCGAGACGCCGGUGGAAACCAUCAGACUAGAGUCCGGAAGAGGAGAGUGGAAUUCCUGGUGUAGCGGUGAAAUGCGCAGGUAUCAGGAAGAACACCCGUGGCUAAGGCGGCUCUCUAGUACGGUACUGACGCUGAGACGCGAAAGCGUGGGGAGCGAACAGG